rnacentral:rRNA from 1 species
AUUGAACGCUGGCGGCAUGCCUUACACAUGCAAGUCGAACGGUAACAGGUCUUCGGAUGCUGACGAGUGGCGAACGGGUGAGUAAUACAUCGGAACGUGCCUAGUAGUGGGGGAUAACUACUCGAAAGAGUGGCUAAUACCGCAUGAGAUCUACGGAUGAAAGCGGGGGCUCGCAAGACCUUGUGCUACUAGAGCGGCCGAUGGCAGAUUAGGUAGUUGGUGGGAUAAAAGCUUACCAAGCCGACGAUCUGUAGCUGGUCUGAGAGGACGACAAGCCACACUGGGACUGAGAAACGGCCCAGACUCCUACGGGAGGCAGCAGUGGGGAAUUUUGGACAAUGGGCGCAAGCCUGAUCCAGCAAUGCCGCGUGCAGGAUGAAGGCCUUCGGGUUGUAAACUGCUUUUGUACGGAACGAAAAGCCCCGGGUUAAUACCCUGGGGUCAUGACGGUACCGUAAGAAUAAGCACCGGCUAACUACGUGCCAGCCGCCGCCGUAA